UACGGAGGGUGCAAGCGUUAUCCGGAUUCACUGGGUUUAAAGGGAGCGUAGGUGGCUUUGUAAGUCAGUGGUGAAAUAUUGCGGCUUAACCGCAAAACUGCCAUUGAUACUGCUUAGCUUGAAUCACGUCGAGGUGGAUGGAAUAAUACAUGUAGCGGUGAAAUGCUUAGAUAUGUAUUAGAACACCGAUUGCGAAGGCAGUUCACUAGGCGUGUAUUGACACUUGAGGCUCGAAAGCGUGGGGAUCAAACAGG
rnacentral:rRNA from 1 species